UUUAUGGAGAGUUUGAUCCUGGCUCAGGAUGAAUGCUGGCGGCGUGCCUAAUACAUGCAAGUCGAGCGGAAAGGCCCUUCGGGGUACUCGAGCGGCGGACGGCUGAGUAACGCGUGGGAACGUACCCCAAAGUGAGGAAUAACCGCCCGAAAGGGUGGCUAAUGCCGCAUAUGAUCUUCGGAUUAAAGGAUUUAUCCGCUUUGGGAACGGCCUGCGUAUGAUUAGAUUGUUGGUGAGGUAAUGGCUCACCAAGUCUACGAUCAUUAACUGGUCUGAGAGGAUGAUCAGUCAGACUGGAACUGAGACACGGUCCAGACUCCUACGGGAGGCAGCAGUAAGGAAUCUUCCACAAUGGGCGAAAGCCUGAUGGAGCAACGCCGCGUGCAGGAUGAAGGCCUUCGGGUCGUAAACUGCUUUUAUAAGUGAAGAAUAUGACGGUAACUUAUGAAUAAGCACCGGC
rnacentral:rRNA from 1 species